CCUACGGGAGGCAGCAGUGAGGAAUAUUGGUCAAUGGACGAGAGUCUGAACCAGCCAAGUAGCGUGAAGGAUGACUGCCCUAUGGGUUGUAAACUUCUUUUAUAUGGGAAUAAAAUGUUCCACGUGUGGGAUUUUGUAUGUACCAUAUGAAUAAGGAUCGGCUAACUCCGUGCCAGCAGCCGCGGUAAUACGGAGGAUCCGAGCGUUAUCCGGAUUUAUUGGGUUUAAAGGGAGCGUAGGUGGAUUGUUAAGUCAGUUGUGAAAGUUUGCGGCUCAACCGUAAAAUUGCAGUUGAAACUGGCAGUCUUGAGUACAGUAGAGGGUGGCGGAAUUCGUGGUGUAGCGGUGAAAUGCUUAGAUAUCACGAAGAACUCCGAUUGCGAAGGCAGUUCACUGGACUGCAACUGACACUGAGGCUCGAAAGUGUGGGUAUCAAACAGGAUUAGAUACCCCUGUAGUC
rnacentral:rRNA from 1 species